GUGUCAGCAGCCGCGGUAAUACGGAGGGUGCGAGCGUUGUCCGGAAUCACUGGGCGUAAAGGGCGCGUAGGCGGUCUGGUAAGCGUGCGGUGAAAGCCCGGGGCUCAACCCCGGGUCGGCCGUGCGGACUGCGAGACUGGAGCACUGUAGAGGCAGAUGGAAUUCCGGGUGUAGCGGUGGAAUGCGUAGAGAUCCGGAAGAACACCGGUGGCGAAGGCGGUCUGCUGGGCAGUGGCUGACGCUGAUGCGCGACAGCGUGGGGAGCAAACAGGAUUAGAAACCCUAGUAGUCC
rnacentral:rRNA from 1 species